CUCGGGUGGCACUUUUCUGGUGCGGUUUCUACACCGGCCUGGGGCUGUUUAAAAAAUAAGUACACUGAAGUUCUAAAAGAUCUGUACAUCUUGGAUGUCUGAGCAAAGAUUGAACGCGUUGGCUUUCAAACUGUUAGUCUGAGAGCGGGUAUAUUUCGCACCGUUCGUAACCCAGCAAGAUUGGACCCGGCUCUCUAAAGUAAUCUCUAAUCAAGUAUAAUCAGAUCUGUGAUUCGGUGAACUAUACACAGAUCAAAAAAAUGUCAAACAUCAACGUCCGAUGGCGCAAAACAUCACGAGGAACGAAGGGAAGGCAAGCAGCGGCAGGAGCACUGAACUGCUGCCACAAAACAACAAAUUUCACGACAUACGCCGGUGACAGGGUUCAGAUUGCUGUUCUGAAGUGUGAAGACCGUGUUCUUUAACCCUCUCUGCAGAUGCUGCCUGGCCUGCCCAGUUCCUUCAGCAUUCCGUCUAAUGCUAUCUACAUGCAAUAUAAUUUGAGCAAAUAUACAUUGUACAAAAGUUUUUCAAAUUUACUUGGAGUUUGUGCAUGAAUAUAAUUGUUUAUGAAACGAUACUGAAAUGUGCACAUUGUAUAUCGAUCAAACGAUAUGGGAUAUUAAGUAGUGGAUGGGAGCAUCACAGUUGCAUUGUGUGUGUGUUAACUUUAUGACGUGUUAGUAUGAAAGAGAAUGUGUAAAUAAUGUACAGCUUCUGUGAGUGUCACACACGGUGCAUUGAAAUAUUCUAUAUAGUUUUUGUGGACAUAAUAAAAAUGCA